UAUUUUAUGAAAUGAAGUUGUGUCAACAAACAUAGUUCAUGCAACAUACUCCGGUACAGUAGGUGGCGUAUGCACCUUUAAAAGUCAUGGCUGCAAUCUGCCAUAAAAGAAGAAGAAAAACACACUCCCAAAGGUGGAACCAAAGUUACCAGCAGUUGUACCACACGGAGGUAUUUCAGCAGGAGCCGGAAGUGAGUUAAAGUUGUGGCAACGCGCGGAAUAGCUGAAGUUCUGAGUUAAUUUAGUAUUUGUGGAAGAUUUGUGAGUUUAUUCAGGUAAACAUGGCGUCUAAACGUAAAUGUGACGCCACGGUUCCUGCGGAGGAAAGUGACCAACUGCUCAUCCGCCCGCUAGUUGCCCAACAGGUCCUUCACUUGAUGUGGAAGCUGGCUGUUUAUUUGAAUCAGCCAAGCAGUUCUUGGAAGAUGUUAACAUCUAGCAAAGUGUUCUUCCUCCACAGCCUCCAUCUCCAGGGAUAUUUCAGUGAUGUUCUACUUUGUUUCCAUCAGGUGGCUCUAACCUGACUGGACUUCACACCACGUCUUCCUGCCGCUCUGAGUCUUCUGUCUGUGCUGCAGUGACGGCCUUCAAGUCUGAGACCUUCUUACACACCAGACCAGAGUCUAACUGAUGGGAGAGACAAGAUUAGGCUCAAUAUAGACCUCUUUCAUGAAACCUGCAAAUAAUUAGAUUUGAUCAAUAUUUAUUUUAUUUAAAAGUAAAUAUACUUGCUGAAAUUACCAAAUAUAUUUCUGGUUUCUGGUUUCGUGUUGACAGAAAAAAAAGGCAUCUACGUGUUCAGAAAAACAAUACACACCUUCAUUCUCUCAUUCGCUCACCUAGACCAAGACCUUAUGGUCUUUUCCUUUGUGAGACUGACACAGAGAGCUCUAAAGUAAGAAUAUUCCACCAACUGUGUAGUGAUAGAGUACAUGUUGGUUUCCACCGUAUCACCAGGAUUUUCUUUGCAGCAGUUAGGCUGGAAAGCCAAAUUGUUUUUUCAUGCACAUGUAACCCAUGUUAAUGUUACCUUAAAACCACUAAAAGGGAAAACAAAUAAAAAUGUGAUGUAAACAAGCAAAUAAAAUUAGGCAUUAAAUCAGUAAUUUAAUGAGUGCAGCAGUAACAGCCAAUCAGAGUGACUCUAGCGCGGCUUGCUGGAGAGAGAGGAAAAACAGAGCGAGAGCAGUUGACCUUGAGAAGGAAACAACAGAGAAGUCUGAAACCGACCGAGAUGAAAGAGUAAAAAACAAGUUUUGAAGACUGUAAAACCUCAUUUCUUUUCCAUUUUUGGAGGAUUUUGUGUUGCUUUUAGUCCACAUUGAUGGAUUCUGUUUUUGGAUUUGCUGAGUGAAAACUACUAUUUACAACAUGUAAAUUAUGCAUUUCCUUGUUUUCUUUCGAGCUGAAUAUAACGUUAAGCCUAAGUGCCAGUAGCUAAACUAAAAAAAUGUGAAUUAUGUUGUGUAUUUUGUGGUUUUAUAUGUGUAAAAGAAUUGAAAAGCUACAUGCAUCAGGCACGGUCAAGUUUAGCCUGGUGAGAGAAUGGAGACGAACAUGGUUCAGAUUUAAUUUAACGUUUAACCUGUGUUUAGGUGCUAGUCUUCCUCAGUUAAUUUUGUUGAAGAUAUAAAAGACUGAAAUGUGUGUAUUUCCCUGUUGUAACAGGCCAGGUUUUUUUGUUGUGAGGAGCUGCUUGGUGUUUAUGCACGUGAAGCCGGGAAAGAAGAUGGCGAACCACCCAUAGAAUAAACUGCGUCGGAUACGGGUCUGUUCCACAAGACCAACCUAUACUCGCGGGAUAAGGACACUGAUUCGUUCACCUGAAUCGUGGUAGGACUGAAACUUUAUUAUUUUGCUGCAGUGUGCUGUGAAGUUCAUCUGGACUUUUAAAGGACUUAACAAAAGGACUAAUUUAGAGUUGUGAGUUGUUGAUUAUAUGCUGAUCUGUGAAGCAGUGUUUCACAUUUGUAUUUUGUGGUAUUGUAAUUUCCCUUAUUUUGCCAAAUUGGUGAUGCAAAUUUUUUUUUGUUGCUGUAAACUAAAAAAACUUAACCCAAAAACUUAUUGGUUAAGUGAAGUAAAGAGAAGGUAGAAACGAAAACUCUUAAAACAGGCCUCACUAAGAUAAAAUGAGAACUUAGAGCUUCUGACGCCAGUGUCUUUUUUCAGUUCAUUGCAAUGGGAGCGUCGCGUUUUUACGAGCUGAUAAAAACUCCAGCAGCGUGACGAGGUGCUGAGCGUUUUUUUUUCGGUCGCCGAGAGUUGAAAAAUGUUAAACUUUGGGAAAAAUGCUGCGCUCGUUACUGUCACUUUUUACCCAGCCGUCCAAUCACUGUGCAGGAAAUACUACACCGUAGCAACGUUUACUAUUCAGCAUUUAAAGGUGGUACUCACCGAACCCGCAUAGGGCGAGUCUGUCCAUCACACCUUCUUCACUUUCCACAGCAUAUGAGACAAGUUAUUAUAACCGUGAAAUAGGGGACGUUUUGUCAACAGGGCCUGUCUCUCUGUGUCUCUCUCACCUCUAUUGUCUCUACAGGUUCAUUUGGUUCAGUGGUGGAGCUCAGAGUUUUCUUCUCCCUGGAUGGAGUCCAACAACAACAAAUACUAAUUUUAACAUCAUGAAUUUCACAACACUAAAGUGAAGAAGUUUGAAGAAUGAAAGACUGAACUGAUGGAUUCUGACUGUUUUACGUCGUCCACAGAUUCAGGAGAAGCAGAGGAAUCAGCAUCAAGACCACCAGAGUCAACCUGAUGAUAUUCAUUAUUAUUGUUGAAUUCCCUAGAAGUACAGAAAGACAUGUGACAUCACUCAUUAGCAGGAUUAGAGUAAGGAUUAAUAAAUCACUUUGCCAGGUGAUUCUAUCUGUUAAUCA